rnacentral:rRNA from 1 species
CCUACGGGAGGCAGCAGUCGAGAAUUAUUCACAAUGGGGGAAACCCUGAUGGUGCGACGCCGCGUGGGGGAAUGAAGGUCUUCGGAUUGUAAACCCCUGUCAUGUGGGAGCAAAUUAAAAAGAUAGUACCACAAGAGGAAGAGACGGCUAACUCUGUGCCAGCAGCCGCGGUAAUACAGAGGUCUCAAGCGUUGUCCGGAAUCACUGGGCGUAAAGCGUGCGUAGACGGUUGCGUAAGUCGUGUGUGAAAGGCGGGGGCUCAACCGGCAGACGGCAAAUGAUACUGGGAGACUUGAGUAAAGGAGAGGUAGGCGGAAUUCGCGGUGUAGCAGUGAAAUGCGUAGAUAUCGAGAAGAACACUGAUGGCGAAGGCAGGUUCCUAAACAUUAACUGACGCUGAGGCACGAAGGCCAGGGGAGCGAAAGGGAUUAGAUACCCCGGUAGUC